AGAAUCAACGCUGGCGGCGUGCCUAACACAUGCAAGUCGAACGCGACUGGGGGCUUCGGCUCCCAGUUGAGUGGCGAACGGGUGAGUAACACGUGGGUGAUCUACCUUUGAGUGGGGGAUAACGUCCCGAAAGGGACGCUAAUACCGCAUGACGUUCUGGGUUUGAAGACCUGGAAACCAAAGCCGGGGACCGCAAGGCCUGGCGCUUGGAGAGGAGCCCGCGUCCGAUUAGCUAGUUGGCGGGUAACGCCCACCAAGGCGACGAUC
rnacentral:rRNA from 1 species